rnacentral:rRNA from 2 species
GAAAGCUAAGGGAGCAAAUGGGAUUAGAGACCCCAGUAGUCCUAGCCGUAAACGAUGGAUACUAGGUGCUGUGCGACUCGACCCGUGUAGUGUUGUAGCUAACGCGUUAAGUAUCCCGCC